rnacentral:rRNA from 1 species
CAGUCGCCGCGGUAAGACAGAGGAUGCAAGCGUCAUCCGGAAUGAUUGGGCGUAAAGCGUCUGUAGGUGGCUUUUCAAGUCCGCCGUCAAAUCCCAGGGCUCAACCCUGGACAGGCGGUGGAAACUACCAAGCUGGAGUACGGUAGGGGCAGAGGGAAUUUCCAGUGGAGCGGUGAAAUGCGUUGAGAUCGAAAAGAACACCAACAGCGAAAGCACUCUGCUGGGACGACACUGACACUAAGAGACGAAAGCUAGGGGAGCAAAUGGGAUUAGAUACCCCGGUAGUCCCUGUCUCUUAUAC